CUACGGGGUGCUCCAGUGGGGAAUAUUGCACAAUGGAGGAAACUCUGAUGCAGCAACGCCGCGUGGAGGAUGACACUUUUCGGAGCGUAAACUCCUUUUAUAUAGGAAGAAGAUGACGGUACUAUAUGAAUAAGCGCCGGCUAACUCCGUGCCAGCAGCCGCGGUAAUACGGAGGGCGCAAGCGUUACUCGGAAUCACUGGGCGUAAAGAGCGUGUAGGCGGAUUAAAAAGUCAGAAGUGAAAUCCUAUAGCUUAACUAUAGAACUGCUUCUGAAACUCUUAAUCUAGAAUAUGGGAGAGGUAGAUGGAAUUUCUGGUGUAGGGGUAAAAUCCGUAGAGAUCAGAAGGAAUACCGAUUGCGAAGGCGAUCUACUAGAACAUUAUUGACGCUGAGACGCGAAAGCGUGGGGAGCAAACAGGAUUAGAUACCCUGGUAGUC
rnacentral:rRNA from 1 species